UACGAAGGGGGGCUAGCGUUGCUCGGAAUCACUGGGCGUAAAGGGUGCGUAGGCGGACUCUUAAGUCGGUGGUGAAAUCCUGGAGCUCAACUCCAGAACUGCCUUCGAUACUGAGAGUCUCGAGUCCGGGAGAGGUGAGUGGAACUGCGAGUGUAGAGGUGAAAUUCGUAGAUAUUCGCAAGAACACCAGUGGCGAAGGCGGCUCACUGGCCCGGUACUGACGCUGAGGUGCGAAAGCGUGGGGGAGCGAACAGG
rnacentral:rRNA from 1 species